rnacentral:rRNA from 1 species
AGGCAAAUCCAGAAAUAACGUCCCAGUUCGGACUGUAGUCUGCAACCCGGCUACAUGAAGCUGGAAUCGCUAGUAAUCGCGGAUCAGAAUGCCGCGGUGAAUACGUUCCCGGGUCUUGUACACACCGCCCGUCACACCAUGGGAGUCGGAAAUGCCCGAAGUCUGUGACCCAACCUCAGGGAGGGAGCAGCCGAAGGCAGGUCGGAUGACUGGGGUGAAGUCGUAACAAGGUAGC